CUUACGGGAGGCAGCAGUGGGGAAUAUUGCACAAUGGGGGAAACCCUGAUGCAGCGACGCCGCGUGAGUGAAGAAGUAUUUCGGUAUGUCACGCUCUAUCAUCAGGGAAGAAAAUUACGGUACCUGAUUACUACCCCCCGGCUAACUACGUGCCAGCAGCCGCGGUCAUACGUAGGGGGCACGCGUUCUCCGGAUUUACUGGGGUUAACGGUAGCGUAGACGGCAGCGCAAGUCUGAAGUGAAAUGCCGGGGCUUAACCGCGGAACUGCUUUGGAAACUGUGGAGCUAGAGUGCAGGAGAGGUGAGUGGAAUUCCUAGUGUAGCGGUGAAAUGCGUAGAUAUUAGGAGGAACACCAGUGGCGAAGGCGACUUACUGGACUGUAACUGACGUUGAGGCUCGAAAGCGUGGGGAGCAAACAGGAUUAGAUACCCCGGUAGUC
rnacentral:rRNA from 1 species